rnacentral:rRNA from 1 species
AUUGAACGCUGGCGGAAUGCUUUACACAUGCAAGUCGAACGGCAGCACGGGAGCUUGCUCCUGGUGGUGAGUGGCGAACGGGUGAGUAAUGCAUCGGAACGUACCUAUUAGUGGGGGAUAACUAUCCGAAAGGAUAGCUAAUACCGCAUACGUCCUGAGGGAGAAAGCGGGGGAUCGCAAGACCUCGCGCUAAUAGAGCGGCCGAUGUUGGAUUAGCUAGUUGGUGGGGUAAAGGCCUAACAAGGCGACGAUCCAUAGCUGGUCUGAGAGGGUGACCAGCCACACUGGGACUGAGACACGGCCCAGACUCCUACGGGAGGCAGCAGUGGGGAAUUUUGGACAAUGGGGGCAACCCUGAUCCAGCCAUUCCGCGUGAGUGAAGAAGGCCUUCGGGUUGUAAAGCUCUUUCGGCAGGAACGAAACGGUGGUUACUAAUACUAGCUACUAAUGACGGUACCUGAAGAAGAAGCACCGGCUAACUACGUGCCAGCCGCCGCCGUAA